rnacentral:rRNA from 1 species
UACGUAGGGUGCGAGCGUUGUCCGGAAUUAUUGGGCGUAAAGGGCUCGUAGGCGGUUUGUCGCGUCGGGAGUGAAAAUCCAGGGCUUAACUCUGGACUGGCUUCCGAUACGGGCAGACUAGAGGUAUGCAGGGGAGAACGGAAUUCCUGGUGUAGCGGUGAAAUGCGCAGAUAUCAGGAGGAACACCGGUGGCGAAGGCGGCAUCCUGGACCAUUACUGACGCUGAGGCGCGAAAGCUAGGGGAGCAAACGGG